AGCUUAUGAUGUGAACAUCUCCUCAAAAGAUCCUUGAACCUCUCCCAUGUCUCAAAUAAUGACUCACUAUCAAUUUAAGUUAAUGAAGUGAUUUCUUAUUUAAGCUU